rnacentral:rRNA from 1 species
GUACACUCCUGCGGGAGGCAGCAGUGGGGAAUUUUGGACAAUGGGGGCAACCCUGAUCCAGCAAUGCCGCGUGAGUGAAGAAGGCCUUCGGGUUGUAAAGCUCUUUUGUCAGGGAAGAAACGGUGGUGGCGAAUAACUACUACUAAUGACGGUACCUGAAGAAUAAGCACCGGCUAACUACGUGCCAGCAGCCGCGGUAAUACGUAGGGUGCAAGCGUUAAUCGGAAUUACUGGGCGUAAAGCGUGCGCAGGCGGUUGUGUAAGUCAGAUGUGAAAUCCCCGGGCUCAACCUGGGAAUUGCAUUUGAGACUGCACGGCUAGAGUGUGUCAGAGGGGGGUAGAAUUCCACGUGUAGCAGUGAAAUGCGUAGAUAUGUGGAGGAAUACCGAUGGCGAAGGCAGCCCCCUGGGAUAACACUGACGCUCAUGCACGAAAGCGUGGGGAGCAAACAGGAUUAGAAACCCGUGUAGUCCCA